rnacentral:rRNA from 1 species
AGUGAACGCUGGCGGUAGGCCUAACACAUGCAAGUCGAACGGCAGCACAGUAAGAGCUUGCUCUUACGGGUGGCGAGUGGCGGACGGGUGAGGAAUACAUCGGAAUCUACUUUUUCGUGGGGGAUAACGUAGGGAAACUUACGCUAAUACCGCAUACGACCUACGGGUGAAAGCAGGGGAUCUUCGGACCUUGCGCGAUUGAAUGAGCCGAUGUCGGAUUAGCUAGUUGGCGGGGUAAAGGCCCACCACGGCGACGAUCCGUAGCUGGUGUGAGAGGAUGAUCAGCCACACUGGAACUGAGACACGGUCCAGACUCCUACGGGAGGCAGCAGUGGGGAAUAUUGGACAAUGGGCGCAAGCCUGAUCCAGCCAUACCGCGUGGGUGAAGAAGGCCUUCGGGUUGUAAAGCCCUUUUGUUGGGAAAGAAAAGCAGCAGGUUAAUACCCCGCUGUUCUGACGGUACCCAAAGAAUAAGCACCGGCUAACUUCGUG